UGCCCAGUGAAACAUCUUUUUAACGGCCGCGGUAUCCUAACCGUGCAAAGGUAGCGUAAUCACUUGUCUUUUAAAUAAAGACUAGUAUGAACGGCUAAAUGAGGACAGCCCUGUCUCUUAUAGUCAACCAGUGAAACUGAUCUUCAAGUACAAAAGCUUGAAUAAGCACAUAAGACGAGAAGACCCUGUGGAGCUUAAAACUAAAACUAUAUCACCUCAAAAUAGCGUUAAGUUUUAAGUUGGGGCGACUUCGGAAUAAAACUAAACUUCCGAGCACAGAGGCACCCCUCUAACCAAGACCAACAAGUCAAAGAAAGCAUUGACCCAGUCUUACUGAUCAACGAACCAAGUUACCCCAGGGAUAACAGCGCUAUCUUCUUCAAGAGUCCAUAUCGACAAGAAGGUUUACGACCUCGAUGUUGGAUCAGGACACCCAAAUGGUGCAGCAGCUAUUAAAGGUUCGUUUGUUCAACGAUCAACA
rnacentral:rRNA from 1 species